rnacentral:sRNA from 1 species
GCCAGGCAUGGUGGCACACUCCUGUAAUCCCAACAGCUUGGGAGGCUGAGGCAGGAGAAUCACAAAUUUGAGGCCCUACGCAACUUAGUGAGAUCCUGUCUCUA